rnacentral:rRNA from 1 species
AGAGCGAACGCUGGCGGCAGGCUUAACACAUGCAAGUCGAGCGGGCGUAGCAAUACGUCAGCGGCAGACGGGUGAGUAACGCGUGGGAACAUACCUUUUGGUUCAGAACAACACAGGGAAACUUGUGCUAAUACCGAAUAAGCCCUUACGGGGAAAGAUUUAUCGCCGAAAGAUUGGCCCGCGUCUGAUUAGCUAGUUGGUGAGGUAACGGCUCACCAAGGCGACGAUCAGUAGCUGGUCUGAGAGGAUGAUCAGCCACAUUGGGACUGAGACACGGCCCAAACUCCUACGGGAGGCAGCAGUGGGGAAUAUUGGACAAUGGGCGCAAGCCUGAUCCAGCCAUGCCGCGUGAGUGAUGAAGGCCCUAGGGUUGUAAAGCUCUUUUGUGCGGGAAGAUAAUGACGGUACCGCAAGAAUAAGCCCGGCUAACUUCGCGUCAGCAGCCGC